GAUGAAGAACGUAGCGAAAUGCGAUACUUGGUGUGAAUUGCAGAGUCCCGUGAACCAUCGAGUCUUUGAACGCAAGUUGCGCCCGAAGCCAUUAGGCCGAGGGCACGCCUGCCUGGGCGUCACACGUCGUUGCCCCCCCAUCUACUCCUUCGGGAUUGCGGGGGGCGGAUGAUGGCCUCCCGUGCGCCUCGCCGCGCGGUUGGCAUAAAUGCCAAGUCCUCGGCGACGCACGCCACGACAAUCGGUGGUUGCGAAACCUCGGUUGCCCGUCGUGUGCGGUCGUCGCGCAUCGAGGGCUCGAAAAAAUUGCCGGGUUCCGGCUCGGCUUUCAACGCGACCCCAGGUCAGGCGGGGUUACCCGCUGAAUUUAAGCAUAUCAAUAAGCGGAGGA
rnacentral:misc_RNA from 1 species